GUGCCAGCAGCCGCGGUAAUACGGAGGGUGCAAGCGUUAAUCGGAAUUACUGGGCGUAAAGGGAGCGUAGGUGGCUCUAUAAGUCAGAUGUGAAAUCCCCGGGCUUAACCUGGGAACUGCAUCUGAAACUGUAGAGCUAGAGUAUGUGAGAGGAAGGUAGAAUUCCAGGUGUAGCGGUGAAAUGCGUAGAGAUCUGGAGGAAUACCGAUGGCGAAGGCAGCCUUCUGGCAUAAUACUGACGCUGAGGCUCGAAAGCGUGGGUAGCAAACAGGAUUAGAAACCCUAGUAGUCC
rnacentral:rRNA from 1 species